GCUCGCGUAGCUCAGAUGGAUAGAGCGGCACCCUUCUAAGGUGAUGGUCAUAGGUUCGAGUCCUAUCGCGGGUACCA
rnacentral:tRNA from 1 species